rnacentral:rRNA from 1 species
AGAGUUUGAUCCUGGCUCAGGACGAACGCUGGCGGCACGCUUAACACAUGCAAGUCGAACGAGAGAAGAGGAGCUUGCUUUUCUGAUCUAGUGGCGGACGGGUGAGUAACACGUGAGCAAUCUGCCUUUCAGAGGGGGAUACCGAUUGGAAACGAUCGUUAAUACCGCAUAACAUAAUUGAACCGCAUGAUUUGAUUAUCAAAGAUUUAUCGCUGAAAGAUGAGCUCGCGUCUGAUUAGCUAGUUGGUAAGGUAACGGCUUACCAAGGCGACGAUCAGUAGCCGGACUGAGAGGUUGAUCGGCCACAUUGGGACUGAGACACGGCCCAGACUCCUACGGGAGGCAGCAGUGGGGAAUAUUGCACAAUGGAGGAAACUCUGAUGCAGCGAUGCCGCGUGAGGGAAGAAGGUUUUAGGAUUGUAAACCUCUGUCUUCAGGGACGAAAAAAGACGGUACCUGAGGAGGAAGCUCCGGCUAACUACGUGCCAGCAGCCGCGGUAAUACGUAGGGAGCGAGCGUUGUCCGGAAUUACUGGGUGUAAAGGGAGCGUAGGCGGGAUCGCAAGUCAGAUGUGAAAACUAUGGGCUUAACCCAUAAACUGCAUUUGAAACUGUGGUUCUUGAGUGAAGUAGGGGUAAGCGGAAUUCCUAGUGUAGCGGUGAAAUGCGUAGAUAUUAGGAGGAACAUCAGUGGCGAAGGCGGCUUACUGGGCUUUAACUGACGCUGAGGCUCGAAAGCGUGGGGAGCAAACAGGAUUAGAUACCCUGGUAGUCCACGCCGUAAACGAUGAUUACUAGGUGUGGGGGGACUGACCCCUUCCGUGCCGCAGCAAACGCAAUAAGUAAUCCACCUGGGGAGUACGACCGCAAGGUUGAAACUCAAAGGAAUUGACGGGGGCCCGCACAAGCAGUGGAAUAUGUGGAUUAAUUCGAAGCAACGCGAAGAACCUUACCAGGUCUUGACAUCGUAUGCAUAGCUCAGAGAUGAGUGAAAUCUCUUCGGAGACAUAUAGACAGGUGGUGCAUGGUUGUCGUCAGCUCGUGUCGUGAGAUGUUGGGUUAAGUCCCGCAACGAGCGCAACCCUUACUGUUAGUUGCUACGCAAGAGCACUCUGGCAGGACUGCCGUUGACAAAACGGAGGAAGGUGGGGAUGACGUCAAAUCAUCAUGCCCCUUAUGACCUGGGCCUCACACGUACUACAAUGGCUGUCAACAGAGGGAAGCAAAGCCGCGAGGUGGAGCGAACCCCUAAAAGCAGUCUUAGUUCGGAUUGUAGGCUGCAACCCGCCUACAUGAAGUCGGAAUUGCUAGUAAUCGCAGAUCAGCAUGCUGCGGUGAAUACGUUCCCGGGCCUUGUACACACCGCCCGUCACGCCAUGGGAGUCGGUAACACCCGAAGCCUGUAGUCUAACCGCAAGGAGGACGCAGUCGAAGGUGGGAUUGAUGACUGGGGUGAAGUCGUAACAAGGUA